rnacentral:rRNA from 2 species
GAUUUCUGGUUUGGCGUGCCUGGCCCGCCACGGUUACGUGUGUGAGUGCCGGUGCAUGCCUGCCAUCCUUCUAACCGUACAGUUGACCCUUCACUGGGCACAGCUGAUAAACACAGUUAGAUCGUUUACUUUGAAAAAAUUAGAGUGUUCAAAGCAGGCAUAUCGCUAUGAAUACAUUAGCAUGGAAUAAUAAGUUAGGACUUCGGUUCUAUUUUGUUGGUUUCUAGGACUGAAGUAAUGAUUGAUAGGGAUAGUUGGGGGUGCUAGUAUUCAGUGGCCAGAGGUGAAAUUCUUGGAUUCACUGAAGACUAACUUUUGCGAAAGCAUU